GGCACAGGAGAAAAAGAAGUGAGUGAACCUCCCAUUCUUCAUAUUUGUUGGAGUGACUUAGGAAGGAGAUGACCUCUGCUGCGAUCUCUCUCUUGUAUGCCUGGAUUUUCCUACCUUUGCUCACAACAGGUAGAGCAAUGAACGUUUGUCACAUCCCUAUUACAAACAUCUGAUGAUACCGGUAUGGGGAACUAAAGUUAAGUAUGCUAAUCUCUGACCUUUUUUCUGCACCUAGACAACAGGGGUUAUUCUGACGGACAAGCCUGUGUCUUUCCCUUCGCCUACAAGAGCUGAACUUUCUACACCUGUACCAAUGAAGAUGAUAAUCUUGAGAGGUUUUGGUGUGCCACCACAGGAAGCUUAGAUAAGAAUAAUAAAUGGACCUACUGCACUGAUACAAGACAACUUGCAAAUCCUCAUGGACCAUGCAUUUUCCCUUUCAACUACAAUGGGAAAAUCUACUCAUCUUGCACAACUGAUGGGUCAUCCGAUGGAAAGCUCUGGUGCUCUCUGACCAGGAACUUUGAUGAAUACCCCAAAUGGACAUACUGUGAACCCUCAGAAUAUGAAGGGAAUUCCAAAGGCAAGCCCUGUGUCUUCCCCUUCAUCUACAGAAACCGUACAUUCUACACCUGCACCAAUGAGGCCACAAAGGAUGGGAGAUUUUGGAGUGCCACAACGGGAAACUAUGACGAGGAUAGACAGUGGCGCUAUUGUGCAGAUUCAAGAUUAGAUGCUAAACCCAAGGGACCGUGUGUCUUUCCUUUCAUCUACAAAGGGAAAUCUCAAUCAUCCUGUAUAAUGGAGGAGGCAUUUGAUGGGAAGCUGUGGUGCUCUCUCACCAGCAACUAUGAUGUGGAUCCCAAAAUGACAUACUGUGAUCUAGGGAUGUAAAGAAUAUUCUCCAAAAUUUGAAAAUUAGUAGAAAUAUGCCUAAUUCGACCAUUCGCUCGCAUUUUAGAGAGAAGAA